rnacentral:rRNA from 1 species
CACGUAGGCUGCUUUGUAAGUCAGGGGUGAAAUCCCACGGCUCAACCGUGGAACUGCCUUUGAUGCUGCUUAGCUUGAAUCCGGGAGAGGGUGGCGGAAUUCCAGGUGUAGGAGUGAAAUCCGUAGAUAUCUGGAGGAACAUCAGUGGCGAAGGCGGCCACCUGGACCGGUAUUGACGCUGAGGUGCGAAGCGUGGGGAGCAAACA